rnacentral:rRNA from 1 species
UACGUGUGGAGCAAGCGUUGUUCGGCCUUAUUGGGCAUAAAGGGCGCGUAGGUGGAGUGUCGUGUCCGUGGUGAAAUCCCCCGGCUUAACCGGGGAAUUGCCGCGGAAACUGGCAUUCUAGAGUGAAACAGGGGUGAGUGGAACUCUGGGUGUAGCGGUGAAAUGCGUAGAUAUCCAGGGGAACGCCGGUGGCGAAAGCGGCUCACUGGGUUUUAACUGACACUGAGGCGCGAAAGCGUGGGGAGCAAACAGG